GUGGUCCAGGAUCCAAAAUCUGAGACUCACUGAAAGGGAGAAACAGGCUUUCUCUGUUCUAGUCCAACACCAUUUGGUAUUUUCUCUUACAGGCUGUUCUCUCCACCUCACUGCACAGAGAAAACACCCCAGAGUAUCCUGUUCAGAGCCACUUCCUUACCCUACAUCCCAGUGGAUGCAGCUUCUGAAAGGAAGCAGAGUCGGCAAGGAUGGAGUGCUUUUGGGAAUCAUUCCCAGCAUGUGGAGACUGCAGUCUGCAGCAAGCAAGGGCAGCUCCCUCAGCAAGUGGAAAAUGGGCUUCACCUCCGUGCGGUCUCCCUGUGGUUUGCUUCCCUUGCGAUAUUAUUUUUGAAUAGCAGGCAGGAGCUUGGUGUCUCUUGCUCUGUUUAGUACAUCCAAUAACCAAACCUGGCCCACUUCUGGGUGGUCCUCGUGAAAUACCAGAAAACCACACAAAGGCCAUGUGAUUUAAUAGUCCUAAGAAACAGAGAAAUUGCUUUGACAGAUACCUCAAAAUCAGUUCUUCAAGAAAUGGGAUGUUUCAACCAAUGUCCAUUCCACUUGUGUUUUUUCCCCUAUUUCCUUUUCUCUUUCUUUGCCCUUAGUUCUUCAUUCUGAUAAACCAGCCUGGAAAAUGUAGAUGACUGAUGUGAUGUGUUGAUGCCUGAUUUGGUCUUAGGAUGGGGAAUGUUACACAAAAAGUCUUCCAGGUUAAAGAAUUCAGAUCCCAGUCGCUAGGCAGAGUGGAUCACUUCAGGAUCAAGAAGAAGGAGGGAUACGAAGAGCCAGCCAUGAAAGCACAGACUACUACACAGGGUUCAUUUGCCAGCAGAAGAGGCCAAAAGGUGAGGUGCGAGAGCUGAGUGCUGCUUCACUUACACGACAGUGACCCAUCUGCUGCCCUGGAGUUCCUCUGGGUUUCCAGUGAAGGACUUGACAGCGGGCCAUCACACCCUGCUAGCACAGUUCUUGUAUCGCUAUUGCAAGCACUCUGCAGAUCUGGCACUUUCCAGCUGAGACAUUUCAGAGAGCUCUAAGCUAAGGUAAUCAAACAGCU
rnacentral:lncRNA from 1 species